UAUGUUCUAGGCUAUAGGACAUGCUGCGGCCACACCAGUUAUGUCCAGAUGACCAAAAAGCAAUCCUUCCCCCUAGGAAUGGCACUCCUGCAAACACUGGGACACUUCUCUUCAUGCCAUUACAGCCAGACCAAAGAAUGCUGCUGGCAGCUCCUUGAAGAAGGUCUACAGUUCACAUGUGUUUUCUGUUUGGUGCUGCAGACUUCCCACCAGCUGAAGGCGACCGGAGGAGCCCAGCUGUGACCAAUUAUGGUCAGGGCUGCCUGGGGUUAGGGCUGAGUAGCAGUGCAGGAGGUCAUUUGCUCAUGCUGCCUUGCACAGACUGUGUUUCUGUGCUCUGUUGUGGCUUUUGCUGGUUCAGAAGGUUUUGAGUCUGCUUCUAUUUUACUCUGUGUUUGCUUUGAUUGUAUUCUACCAAGUUUUGACUCCCAUAAGAUGCAGUUACUGUGAGGGCUGUGACCUAGCCCAGAGGGUCAACCCAACUUUGCUUCCUGCUGUUUCCCUGACACGUACCACUGGUCGGGGCUGAAUCUGGAUGCAAACCAAGCCUUUCUGAAUGCCGGAGACCUGUUGGAAUCCACAGGAGUAAGCUUGCCUCCAAAUGACCAACUGCAGAACCUGACGCUGUCUUAAGGGAUAUGGAACAGCCAAAGUGGUGCAUUGUGUCACUGCUGCGAGUAUCAUUUGCUGUUACCUCGACUUGGAAACCAGCUGGUGCUGCGGAGGACAACAACACACACUUACAGCAAAGAAGAUAUGGUGUUCUCCUGUGGUGAUAUUGAUGACUCUGAUAGAUGGUAAAUACAUGGCUGGAGAAAAUCCCACUGUUUGCCCAGCAGGACUGACCUUACACAGCUAUAUAUGCCUAUUUAUAUCCCAAUUUCAGCCUGCGGUCAAAGCAGAAGCAAUAAACACAGUAUACUUGUAGUCUGAGUCCCAGCAUUAAAAUUGCAUUUGCAUCACUUUUGUUUGUUUUUAGAAAACUGCUCUUGGGUCUGUUUGCUUGAGUAGCGAAGCAACGAUUUUGUUUUAUUAGGAGACUCUGAGCCCUGGAGUGGAACACCACUACUCCUUUACUGAUCUUGCAGUCAGAAAACAAUACUGAAAUAUAUCAAAAAUGUCAGGCCUCUCCUGGGUCUCUGUAAACUUCAUCCUCUGCAUUUACUGUGUGAUCAAGAACAUGUGCCAAGGCUGCAACUCUGGUCCUUGCUGUUCCCUGUAAGUCCUUUCGUAGCUGCUGGUGGUGGAGGUGCUCUCUCAGAUGGCUGUUCUUAUGGAGGCCUACAUCUGCCUCCUCUGGGGUCAUCAUUAAGAAGGGCCUGACUCCAGGGCAUAUCUAGUUCCAGCCCUUCAUGGGAGGAUGCAUUUCGCACUCACAGUAGGUGAAACUCAUGCUGUAAAGCAGCAUUGCUUUUCUGUGUGAUCUAAUAGGUAACUUUAUUUGACUUCUUCAGAUCCCAAGCUUUGCCAAUUUGUGUUAUUGUUUUCUGAAGGGCAGCAUUUGCAUUUUUGAGGAAACCUAGCAACACUGAAGUGAAAAAAAAGUAAUUAAGAUGUAGUGGACUAUUAGAAAUGCAAGACUAAAUUAUGAUCUACUGGGAAAACUAAUAUGAGUGUGGCUAAUGACAUCCUUUAGAAACUGAUACAAAGGAGACAUAUUAAUGAUAUUUGUGCAGAUAAUAUACUAUGUUUGUGCUUAUUAGCUGUUUAAUUUAAAGUACUAAAAAAAAUUCAGGUAGUUGGUAUUUAAAGAUGCAGAGGGGUACCCGUUGAAAUGACAGAUAUUUUUUCUUUACUGGUAGCUUAUAUAUGUUUAUAUUUCAUGUUGUCAAAGAAGGAAAAUGAAUGUGAAAUGCUUAAAAUGGGAAAUGGCUCAGUAGACUUCAUGGAGCUGAUAACCAAAGUAAUAUGUGUUGGAAGAAAUGGGUAGGUAAAGCCAAUGAGAAAGAAAUUCAAAUAAAGCAAAUUUCACACUUUAAUAUAUGAUACAGUUUAAGGUAGAUUGCUUGGUCCCUACUCAACCACAGCUAUGUAAGAAUCAAAUUAGAUUGUACCAUACCAGAUCCUUGGUUAGUUAAU